rnacentral:rRNA from 1 species
AUUGAACGCUGGCGGCAGGCCUAACACAUGCAAGUCGAGCGGAUGACGGGAGCUUGCUCCUUGAUUCAGCGGCGGACGGGUGAGUAAUGCCUAGGAAUCUGCCUGGUAGUGGGGGGCAACGUUUCGAAAGGAACGCUAAUACCGCAUACGUCCUACGGGAGAAAGCAGGGGACCUUCGGGCCUUGCGCUAUCAGAUGAGCCUAGGUCGGAUUAGCUAGUUGGUGAGGUAAUGGCUCACCAAGGCGACGAUCCGUAACUGGUCUGAGAGGAUGAUCAGUCACACUGGAACUGAGACACGGUCCGGACUCCUACGGGAGGCAGCAGUGGGGAAUAUUGGACAAUGGGCGAAAGCCUGAUCCAGCCAUGCCGCGUGUGUGAAGAAGGUCUUCGGAUUGUAAAGCACUUUAAGUUGGGAGGAAGGGCAGUAAGUUAAUACCUUGCUGUUUUGACGUUACCGACAGAAUAAGCACCGGCUAACUCUGUGCCAGCAGCCGCAGUAAAAC